CCUACGGGAGGCAGCAGUAAGGAAUAUUGGUCAAUGGACGCAAGUCUGAACCAGCCAUGCCGCGUGAAGGAUUAAGGUCCUCUGGAUUGUAAACUUCUUUUAUCUGGGACGAAAAAAGGCGAUUCUUCGUCACUUGACGGUACCAGAUGAAUAAGCACCGGCUAACUCCGUGCCAGCAGCCGCGGUAAUACGGAGGGUGCAAGCGUUAUCCGGAUUCACUGGGUUUAAAGGGUGCGUAGGCGGGCAGGUAAGUCAGUGGUGAAAUCCUAGAGCUUAACUCUAGAACUGCCAUUGAUACUAUCUGUCUUGAAUAUUGUGGAGGUAAGCGGAAUAUGUCAUGUAGCGGUGAAAUGCUUAGAUAUGACAUAGAACACCUAUUGCGAAGGCAGCUUACUACGCAUAUAUUGACGCUGAGGCACGAAAGCGUGGGGAUCAAACAGGAUUAGAUACCCUGGUAGUCCACGCCCUAAACGAUGAUUACUCGACAUUUGUGAUACACUAUAAGUGUCUGAGCGAAAGCAUUAAGUAAUCCACCUGGAAGUACGACCGCAAGGUUGAAACUUAAAGGAAUUGACGG
rnacentral:rRNA from 1 species